UACGUAGGUGGCAAGCGUUGUCCGGAUUUACUGGGCGUAAAGAGCGCGCAGGCGGUCUUGUAAGUCGAAUGUGAAAGCCCCUGGCUCAACCGGGGAGGGUCAUUCGAUACUGCUCGACUCGAAGGCAGGAGAGGGAAGCGGAAUUCCCGGUGUAGUGGUGAAAUGCGUAGAGAUCGGCAGGAACACCCAGGGGGAAACCAGCGGACUGGGCAUUGGCUGACGCUCAAGUGCGACAGCGUGGGGAGCGAACCGG
rnacentral:rRNA from 1 species